rnacentral:rRNA from 1 species
ACGCUCGACACCUACGAGGCAGCAGUGAGGAAUAUUGGUCAAUGGGCGCUAGCCUGAACCAGCCAAGUAGCGUGAAGGAUGAAGGCUCUAUGGGUCGUAAACUUCUUUUAUAUAAGAAUAAAGUGCAGUAUGUAUACUGUUUUGUAUGUAUUAUAUGAAUAAGGAUCGGCUAACUCCGUGCCAGCAGCUGCGUAAUCUGAGGCGGGCUGGCAAGGC